rnacentral:lncRNA from 1 species
CAGUGCCUAGGUUUUAUGUAGUGAGUUUGGCUAAAAUGGUAGAGCUCCCUGAUUCUAACCUCCCUGCAGGUUUUCCACCACAUCCACUGACCUCUACAUGGCGAAAACCAAAGGUUCACUCUCUGUCUUCAGGGAGCUCCACCCAGCAGCAGCGUUUGACAGAGCUGUUCACUUCCUCUUCCUGGAGCUGUGGCUUCCAGAGUCCAUGCUCAGCAGUUCCCCUCCUUCUUCGGCUGCUUCUCUCUUAGGCUCAGAGCCACUCAGACAUUGGGAAGCAAGUUUGUCAAGAUGACAGAGAACCGAGGUAAUGGAUUCGAGUGAUGAAACAGGAAGUUCAUUCAUGAGUUUUUGGCCACACCUCCAAAGUGACGACUUGGCCAGAAAUGGGAUAACUGGAUUUCCCUACUUCUCUUUGAUCAUCCUCAAUGAGAGUGACCAAAUAUUAGAGCUAGAUGGAACCUUAGUGAAAAUCUGGCUACUCGUCCCGUCCCACCAGCCUGCCACCCGUUUCAAGUUUGAAGAGACAAAGACACAAGGACCUUAUGUAAUUACUGGGGAUUACCCCAGGAGUCUGUGGCAAAAGUCAGCUUCUUCCCUCCCUGCUUCCCCGCCCUGUCUCUGGUGCUUUCUACCAACACUAGGCUGUUUCUGUGAUCAUACUUAAGCGUACCUAACCUGUGAAUGUUGUACAGAAGCUGCUAAUGAACAUGAUUUAGCUUUAACACUCAGUUUUCUAAAGGGACACGUGGGGGCAGCAAAUGUUUAGGGAAAAAAAAUUCCAGUUCUAACCUCUACUGUCUACGUAUGUGUAUACAUUUGGGAAACGUUUCGGAAAGAGAUAUUUGAGAGCUUC